UACAGAGGGUGCGAGCGUUGUCCGGAAUCACUGGGCGUAAAGGGCGCGUAGGUGGCGACCCAAGUCGAUGGUGAAAGCUCGCCGCUCAACGGCGAGUCGGCCACCGAUACUGGGUUGCUGGAGCACUGUAGAGGCUCAUGGAAUUCCCGGUGUAGCGGUGAAAUGGCGCAGAUAUCGGGAAGAACGACCCGUGGUGAAGACGGGUUGCUGGCUGACACUGACGCUGAGGCGGCGAAAGCUAGGGUAGCAAACGGG
rnacentral:rRNA from 1 species